GUCUCAGAAGCUCAAGUCAGGGCUAGUGGAGCAACCAAUGUCUCUUCCUCUUGCCUAUGGAUUCAGAUGUAGAACGCACAGCUGCAUGUCACCAUACUUCCUGUCUUGAUAAUGGACUAAACCUCUGAACUUACUGACCUGAGGAAGAACCGAACCUGGCUUUCUAAGGAUGCUUUUGGAUGUCUUCGAGCAGGGAUGUUGAAUAUGAUUGUUAUUUACAGUGAAUGCAGGUGCCAGUGGCAGCCAGGGGUGUUGGAUCUGCCUGGAGCUGGAGUUGCAAGCAGUUGUGAAUUGCUUGAUGUGGGUGCUG
rnacentral:lncRNA from 1 species